rnacentral:rRNA from 1 species
GGAUAACCUACCCUUAGGACUGGGAUAACCCUGGGAAACUGGGGCUAAUACCGGAUAGGCAAUUUUUCCUGGAAUGGUUUUUUGUUUAAAUGUUUUUUCGCCUAAGGAUGGGUCUGCGGCCGAUUAGGUAGUUGGUUAGGUAAUGGCUUACCAAGCCGUUGAUCGGUACGGGUUGUGAGAGCAAGAGCCCGGAGAUGGAACCUGAGACAAGGUUCCAGGCCCUACGGGGUGCAGCAGGCGCGAAACCUCCGCAAUGUGAGAAAUCGCGACGGGGGGAUCCCAAGUGCCAUUCUUAACGGGAUGGCUUUUCAUUAGUGUAAAGAGCUUUUGGAAUAAGAGCUGGGCAAGACCGGUGCCAGCCGCCGCGGUAACACCGGCAGCUCUAGUGGUAACAAUUUUUAUUGGGCCUAAAGCGUCCGUAGCCGGUUUAAUAAGUCUCUGGUGAAAUCCUGUAGCUUAACUGUGGGAAUUGCUGGAGAUACUAUUAGACUUGAGACCGGGAGAGGUUAGAGGUACUCCCAGGGUAGAGGUGAAAUUCUGUAAUCCUGGGAGGACCGCCUGUUGCGAAGGCGUCUAACUGGAACGGUUCUGACGGUGAGGGACGAAAGUUAGGGGCGCGAACCGGAUUAGAUACCCGGGUAGUCCUAACUGUAAACGAUGCGGACUUGGUGUUGGGGUGGCUUUGAGCUGCUCCAGUGCCGAAAGGGAAGCUGUUAAGUCCGCCGCCUGGGAAGUACGGUCGCAAGACUGAAA